AUCUCUGGUGUUUUAAAAAAAAUUUUAGUAGAGACAGGAUCUCACUAUGUUGCCCAGGCUGAGAACAUAGCCACUUUUAAAGUAAUGUAAACUUCAUAUCAUUAACCCAAAUCCUCCUAAUUGGUUAUAAACACAUCUCAAACUAAUUCCCCUCUAGAACCCUCUGCUCUCUGAAAGGUGAAACAAAUGGCAAGACAAGGAUGCAUUAGGGGCUGCAUGGUGGCUCACACCUGUAAUCCUAGAACUUUGGGAGGCCGAGAUGGGCAGAUCGCUUGAGUCCAGGAGUUUGAGACCAGCCUGGACAGCAUGGCAAAACUCCAUCUCUACUAAAUAUACAAAAAUUAGCCAUGGUGGCACACGCCUGUAAUCCCAGCUACUUGGGAGGAUGAGGAGCGAGAAUCACUUGAACCUAGGAGGUGGAGGUUAAAAUAUCACCACUUUACAUGAAACCGCAAAAAAUAUUUUGACCAGGUAUUAACUAUUAU
rnacentral:lncRNA from 1 species